rnacentral:rRNA from 1 species
GAUUAUGGCUCAGAACGAACGCUGGCGGCGUGCUUAACACAUGCAAGUCGAACGCGAAAGGGACUUCGGUCCUGAGUAAAGUGGCGCACGGGUGAGUAACGCGUAGAUAACCUGUCUUUAUGUCUGGAAUAAUACGACCGAAAGGGGUACUAAUACCGGAUUAUUUUUGCAUUGCAUAAGCAGUGUAAGACAAAGGUGGCCUCUGACAUAAGCUACUGCAAUAAAGGAGGGGUCUGCGUACCAUUAGCUAGUAGGUAGGGGUAAAGGCCUACCUAGGCUACGAUGGUUAGGCGGGUCUGAGAGGAUGAUCCGCCACACUGGCACGUGGAACGACGGGCCAGACCUCCGUACGGGAGGCAGCAGUGAGGAAUAUUGCGCAAUGGGGCAACCCUGACGCAGCGACGCCGCGUGAAGUGAGGAAGGCCUUCGGGUCGUAAAGCUCUGUCAAAGGGAAAGAAGUGCAUGGUGGUUAAUACCUGCCAUGUUUGACGGUACCCUUAAAGGAAGCACCGGCUAACUCCGUGCCAGCCGCCGC